rnacentral:rRNA from 1 species
GAUGAACGCUGGCGGCGUGCCUAAUACAUGCAAGUCGAGCGAACAGACGAGGAGCUUGCUCCUCUGACGUUAGCGGCGGACGGGUGAGUAACACGUGGAUAACCUACCUAUAAGACUGGGAUAACUUAGGGAAACCGGAGCUAAUACCGGAUAAUAUAUUGAACCGCAUGGUUCAAUAGUGAAAGACGGUUUUGCUGUCACUUAUAGAUGGAUCCGCGCCGCAUUAGCUAGUUGGUAAGGUAACGGCUUACCAAGGCAACGAUGCGUAGCCGACCUGAGAGGGUGAACGGCCACACUGGAACUGAGACACGGUCCAGACUCCUACGGGAGGCAGCAGUAGGGAAUCUUCCGCAAAGGGCGAAAGCCUGACGGAGCAACGCCGCGUGGGUGAUGAAGGUCUUCGGAUCGUAAAACUCUGUUAUUAGGGAAGAACAAAUGUGUAAGUAACUAUGCACGUCUUGACGGUACCUAAUCAGAAAGCCACGGCUAACUACGUG